rnacentral:rRNA from 1 species
UUCGCAAUGCCCGAAAGGGUGACGAAGCGACGCCGCGUGUGGGAAGAAGGCCUUCGGGUUGUAAACCACUGUCGGGAGUUAAGAAAUGUAAGGGUGUUAAUAGUAUCCUUACUUGACUAAGGCUCCGGAGGAAGCCACGGCUAACUCUGUGCCAGCAGCCGCGGUAAUACAGAUGCGGCAAGCGUUGUUCGGAAUUAUUGGGCGUAAAGAGCACGUAGGCGGCUGUGUAAGUCGGUUGUGAAAGCCUUCCGCUCAACGGAAGAACAGCGACCGAUACUGCAUAGCUAGAGUGCGGGAGGGGAGAGUGGAACUUCUGGUGGAGCGGUGAAAUGCGUAGAUAUCAGAAGGAACGCCGGCGGCGAAAGCGGCUCUCUGGACCGUAACUGACGCUGAGUGUGCGAAAGCUAGGGGAGCAAACGGGAUUAGAUACCCCGGUAGUCCUAGCCGUAAACGAUGGGCACUAAGUAGAGGGGUUUU